rnacentral:rRNA from 1 species
CCAGAGAUGGAUUGGUGCCUUCGGGAACUGUGAGACAGGUGCUGCAUGGCUGUCGUCAGCUCGUGUUGUGAAAUGUUGGGUUAAGUCCCGCAACGAGCGCAACCCUUAUCCUUUGUUGCCAGCGGUUAGGCCGGGAACUCAAAGGAGACUGCCAGUGAUAAACUGGAGGAAGGUGGGGAUGACGUCAAGUCAUCAUGGCCCUUACGACCAGGGCUACACACGUGCUACAAUGGCAUAUACAAAGAGAAGCGACCUCGCGAGAGCAAGCGGACCUCAUAAAGUAUGUCGUAGUCCGGAUUGGAGUCUGCAACUCGACUCCAUGAAGUCGGAAUCGCUAGUAAUCGUAGAUCAGAAUGCUACGGUGAAUACGUUCCCGGGCCUUGUACACACCGCCCGUCACACCAUGGGAGUGGGUUGCAAAAGAAGUAGGUAGCUUAACCUUCGGGAGGGCGCUUACCACUUUGUGAUUCAUGACUGGGGUGAAGUCGUAACAAGGUAACCGUAGGGGAACC